GACAGAGGGUGCAAACGUUGUUCGGAAUUACUGGGCGUAAAGCGCGUGUAGGCGGCUAAGUAAGUCGGGCGUGAAAUCCCACGGCUCAACCGUGGAAGUGCACUCGAAACUACAUAGCUAGAGUCCUGGAGAGGAAGGUGGAAUGCUUGGUGUAGAGGUGAAAUUCGUAGAUAUCAAGCGGAACACCGGUGGCGAAGGCGGCCUUCUGGACAGUGACUGACGCUGAGACGCGAAAGCGUGGGGAGCAAACAGG
rnacentral:rRNA from 1 species